rnacentral:lncRNA from 1 species
AGCGCGAUCUCGUCCUUUCCGAGGUCCUCUGCCGCGUGUUUGGAAGUUAUGGCCGCGCGGGUCUGUGGUGUUCUCCCUGAAAGGCCUAAGCUUUGGGUGAUGGCAUUGCCUUUUGGCACUCGGGAGACAAGAUGCAGGUUCCGUCUCAGAAGUAAUGGCUGGAUCCCUGAAAGCCAACGGGCUCGGUGUGGUCCACCCGUCAGAAGGCAUAGGUAGAUGGUGGGCAUCUGCCUCAGACAUAGUUCUCAAGUUCAGCCAGAAGAAUGCGCGUUGAGCCCUCUGCAGCCCGUGUCGGUAAGGGUUCCAAACAAGUCCAGAAGAGGGUCUGUGCCGGUGUAAUUUGGGGCUAUAGAGUGUCGUUCUGCAACUCAACGUGGUUGCCAGAACCGGAUUUCCAAAAAUGAGUUGGGUUGGCACUGGGGGGUUUGGGGGGCCUCUUGCUGGUUGAGCUGAGGAUGAUUUAAGUUAUCCCUGUCUGAAAUGACACUUUUGUGAAGAGUCAUGGUUUACUGAGGCUCGACGUUUUGAGGUCUGUUUUGAGAAUGACCACAGUAAGGUUGCUUCUGUUAGAAUGAAGUGGGAUCUCUUUAUUACUCCUUCAGACGGAGGUGUUGUCUCCAGGAAGCAUCAUGGAAAGGCGUGGUGGUGCACAAGGGCCUUCAGGAUGCCUGCGCCUGGUGACGGCUGCGCCUCAGGUUCUGGGCCUGACUCGGAAGGGUGCCUGUGAGCAGAAGAGCUGGCACGCGCAGCUCAGUGGACCAUCAGUGCCAACCCGUCCUGUACCCUGGCUGAGGGGUGUGCUAAGUGGCAGAUUCCCGGUUGGCUCAUCGUAAGGCGUGGCACAAAAUCACCAUCGAAAGAAAGGGCCUUCGGGAUGCCUCUAUCUGGUUAUUGCCCUGUAGUGCCAGAGAGAACCACAUAGCCUGCUGCUGCUCCUGCCUUUAAUUUCCCAAAGAGUCAUCAGACGACCUUGGAGUUUGUUCUGCAAGAGGAGCCAGUAAGGCCUCGUGACUGUGGUCACCCUCGGAAGCCUUUGACAGCUAGCUGGUGAGGGCGCUCAGUCGGAGGCCCUGGGGAGGCCCCUGCUAAGCCGAGAAAAGCAUUUCUCACAGUGGAUUUCCUGGAAGUCAGGGUUGGCCUUUGUAUUUUGAAGCACAAAUAAACUUUAUAAAAUUUAA